GGCACACAUUAAUGCAAAGCUGUUUAGUUGGGAAUGAACCACUUAAGAGGCUCUUCGAGCAAAAACAUCAGUCUAUGUAGCAGACGUAGGUCCAUGAAGACUGUCAUCUUGACUCCCUAGAGGAUUAUAACCUCUGAAUGGAUUCUUUCAUGAGUAUUUAUCAUCCUUAAAACCCUGAUCAGAAAUAUCAAAUGAUCAUAGUUGCAACGUGCCUGCUUUUGCACCAUUGACAGCCAGUAUUCGCAUCUUGAGAAGAGAGAGUUUCAUUGAUGAAAGAGUAUCAACAGUAUGUGAGGAACACUAGCAGUGCUUCUGAGGACAAGACUGUGCUGGUAUCUUUUCCUUUCUCCUCCAUUUCUUUCCCAUUUAUCAGCACCCAGCACUCUCUCUCAACUCUCCCUCUGCUUACAUCAAUUACAGGACAAUGGGCUUGUCCCACGAUGCGGGAAGGAUGGGUAUACCAUGGGAAGAGGAAAGAACAGGGCUUGAUACUCCUCCAGCUAAUUAAUGACCAGGGGAAAAGGAAUGCCAGUCACGGCCCACCUAGGGUGCAUUUAAGCACAUAACAUAGACAACAAAAACUGAAGGCAUGAAGAAGAUUCAGAACAUUAACAGGAAGAAUGAAGAUUAUUGAAGGUAGCAAUGUAUGGAAUUUCAAGGUUU
rnacentral:lncRNA from 1 species